GGUAGUGGUGGCAGAAAGCAAUGGGUCUAUCCCAGGAAAGUCCGCCCACCUCAAAAAGGCUACUCCUUCAUUGGAGACGGAGAAAUCCGUAGCUCUGGCGGAAGAAACGACACGUCCUAUAGAAUGGAAUGAUAAUGGCGAAGUGUGUUGCGAGACACACGAGUUAAUCCUUGGACGUCUCUAUAGGGAUCGAUGGAACGGCGAAUCUUACGAAAGACCGCGAUCUUUCGGAAGUCCUAAAAGCUUGCUUUUAUGACUUAGCCGGUGCAAGUUCAUUUGAACGCUUAGUAGAAUGCUUUCGGCGGUCAUCGACAAUAGCCAGGUGCUGUUGUUUUGGGCCCAACAAAAGGCGGCUUAUGCCACCCUACC
rnacentral:RNase_P_RNA from 1 species